GUCGAGAAUCUUUGUCAAUGAGCGCAAGCUUGAACGAGCGACGCCGCGUGUGGGAUGAAGGCCUUCGGGUUGUAAACCACUGUCAGGGGCUAACAAUAAGCAUGUAACCCAUGCGAUGAGAUAAACCCCAGAGGAAGUGACAGCUAACUACGUGCCAGCAGCUGCGGUAAUACGUAGGUCGCAAACGUUGUUCGGAAUUACUGGGCUUAAAGGGCGCGUAGGCGGCUUUGUAAGUCAAGGUUGAAAUCCGGCGGCUCACCCGUCGACGUGGCCUUGAUACUGCAGAGCUAGAAUCAUGGAGGGGUGCGCGGAACUUGUGGUGGAGCGGUGAAAUGCUCAGAUAUCACAGGGAACACCGGAGGCGAAGGCGGCGCACUGGCCAUGUAUUGACGCUGAGGCGCGAAAGCCAGGGGAGCGAACGGGAUUAGAUACCCCAGUAGUCC
rnacentral:rRNA from 1 species